rnacentral:rRNA from 1 species
GACGAACGCUGGCGGCGCGCUUAACACAUGCCAGUCGAACGGAAAGGCCUGCUUUCCCUUGUGGAUUGCGGGUACUCGAGUGGCGAACGGGUGAGUAACACGUGAGUGAUCUGCCCCCAACUUGGGUAUAAGCCUGGGAAACUGGGUCUAAUUCCCGAUAGGACUGCAGGGUGGUGCCUGUGGUGGAAAACGAUUUUCUAGUGGUUGGGGAUGAGCUCGCGGCCUAUCAGCUUGUUGGUGGGGUAAUGGCCUACCAAGGCGGCGACGGGUAGCCGGCCUGAGAGGGUGGACGGCCACAUUGGGACUGAGAUACGGCCCAGACUCCUACGGGAGGCAGCAGUGGGGAAUAUUGCACAAUGGGCGGAAGCCUGAUGCAGCGACGCCGCGUGGGGGAUGACGGCCUUCGGGUUGUAAACUCCUUUCGACCGCGAGGAAGCCACCUGGUUGGAAGGGUGGUGACGGCAGUGGUAGAAGAAGCACCGGCUAACUACGUG